rnacentral:rRNA from 1 species
AGAGGUCUAGCCUGCCCAGUGACUAAAAUUCAACGGCCGCGGUAUCCUGACCGCGCGAAGGUAGCGUAAUCACUUGUUUUUUAAAUAAAGACUAGUAUGAAUGGCACCACGAGGAUCAAACUGUCUCCUUUACAUAAUCAGUGAAACUAAUCUCCCCGUGAAAAAGCAGGGAUUAAACUACAAGACGAAAAGACCCUAUGGAGCUUUAAAUACGUAACUAUGCCUUUCCUCCCGCACUAGUUAUAAGUUUUAGGUUGGGGUGACCGCGGAGAAAAACAUAUCCUCCAUAAUGAAUAAGUUUACUUUAAACAAAAAGUCACAACUUCAUGUAUCAACAAAUUGACAUACUGAUCCAAUAAUCUGAUCAACGAACCAAGUUACCCUAGGGAUAACAGCGCAAUCCACUUUAAGAGUUCAUAUCGACAAGUGGGCUUACGACCUCGAUGUUGGAUCAGGGUAUCCCAGUGGUGCAGCCGCUACUAAAG